rnacentral:sRNA from 1 species
GGCGAUCCCACCGCAUGCCCCAAGACCGGGCACGGCAACAAUCCGAUCACAUCCGGCUCGCCCGACGU